AGGUAUUGCUGUAUUCAAAUCAUACUGGUCAAAUUUCUGUUUUCCUUUGGUCAAAUUAUGUUAUCUGGUUUUCUUGUGUCCACUUUUUUCUUCAAGGUAUAUGAUGGUGAAACGAAAAACCAGGACGGAAACGGAUUCCUUCUUUAUCAGGACUUCGCCGCCACAACUUUCGCAUUCCCCGUCACCUGACCCCUACUAACCAAUCAGAUUCUGUCUGCGUGGGCCAGGCUGCCCGAUUGGACAUCAUGAGCCUCCCCACACUUGUGGUGGCAUUGGCGCUGACGUUGUGCGCCUGGAUUACGCUUUGUGGAGACAUUUCGUGCGAUUCCGGAUGGGAGGUGUUCGGCUCCAGCUGCUACAAGAAGAUGCCAGCCACCAACGGUUGGCUGGGGGCUCGUUUACACUGCGCCCUGGAGGGCGGCGACCUGGUCUCCUUCAACUCAUUGGCCGAGGAAGAUUUUGUGAAGGGCAAAAUGGGGGUAGACCCGUUCUGGAUCGGACUCUCC